UACGUAGGGGGCUAGCGUUGUCCGGAUUUAUUGGGCGUAAAGAGCGUGUAGGCGGCCCGAUAAGUCCGCUGUGAAAGUCCAGGGCUCAACCCUGGAAUGCCGGUGGAUACUGUCGGGCUCGAGUUCGGAAGAGGCGAGUGGAAUUCCCGGUGUAGCGGUGAAAUGCGCAGAUAUCGGGAGGAACACCUAUGGCGAAGGCAGCCUUCUGGGCCAACACUGACGCUCAUGCACGAAAGCGUGGGGAGCAAACAGG
rnacentral:rRNA from 1 species